AAAGCACUUUAAAUGGAGUGUCCAGAAAAACAGUAUUUAAAGUGUAAAGCCCCUUGGAAGAUUUAGAAGACUGAUUUAGAGAUGCAUGAAGGGUCUGAAUUAUUAAAAUUGAAUAUUAAUGUCCAGAAUUUACCGUGUGUGCGUGUGGAAUUUUGGAUCUGCCCAAUGGGGACGUCACAGAGAUGUAAUCAGUAUUCAGGGUUUGCAGUAUGCAAUGAAUACCAACUGGAAGCCGUUACUGUCCAUCUUGUGAGAUAAUACAUCUGCCUCUGAAGCCAGAAUUUAUUUUUCACUUUUCAAACUGCCAGCUAGGCUCACUGCUUCAACUCUGUCACAGCUAGACCUGCAAUGUUGAAAACAGCUGGCAUACAUCCUUGGGAACUUCUGUUGCCAGGAUAUUUGUCUCAUUUCUGUACCGAAUGCAAACAGCAGGGCUCCUGUGUCAUAUGGAGGGUUUUUAAAGCUGUUGGCUGCUGCAUGGUUAACAUAUGACAUCUCCCUGCCAAUUGUAUGCUUCUCUGUAUAGCUUCCAACCAAAGCUUGCUACAGGUAUAAUUCAGGCUACAGCACAUGCCCUGUAUUCUAAGCAGAAAGAUUUUUCAGAAAUUUGUAUUGUCGGUUUUGCAGUUUUACACCUUCCCCAGUUUGGAAUUGCUUAUCCUGCCCUCAACUUCUGCAGUCCCUGAGCUGAACAGAGAGAAGUCGCCUAAUGAGUCUGGCCAAGAUGACCAACAUAGCAUUAUUUUGUUUGCAUUUAUUACCUGUUGUAAGAAUAGUAAUUUUUGUCUCCUGAAUUAAAUAGGCUUUAUAUGGUUGUCAUAUUUCUUUUUUGAAAAUCAAAGUGCAUAUUAAAAAGUUACAUGAUGGCUUUCAGUGUAUGUUUUUGUCUCAUCAGAAUACCAUUUCCUACAGAUGUAUGUAUUGUGUAAAGAAACAUAUAAAGGCUGGAACCAGAUCAG